rnacentral:rRNA from 2 species
GUAGGGUGCAAGCGUUAAUCGGAAUUACUGGGCGUAAAGCGUGCGCAGGCGGCUUUGCAAGACAGAUGUGAAAUCCCCGGGCUCAACCUGGGAACUGCAUUUGUGACUGCAUGGCUAGAGUACGGUAGAGGGGGAUGGAAUUCCGCGUGUAGCAGUGAAAUGCGUAGAUAUGCGGAGGAACACCGAUGGCGAAGGCAAUCCCCUGGACCUGUACUGACGCUCAUGCACGAAAGCGUGGGGAGCAAACAGGAUUAGAUACCCUGGUAGUCCACGCCCUAAACGAUGUCAACUGGUUGUUGGACGGCUUGCUGUUCAGUAACGAAGCUAACGCGUGAAGUUGACCGCCUGGGGAGUACGGCCGCAAGGUUG